GGCAGUGUGAGGAGGGGCCGCAGGACAGGGCCUGGCAGGAGGGAGGCCCCGCCGGAGAACGGUCACACCGGGUGGGGACGGCAUCGUUACGGUGGCAGUGUGAGGAGGGGCCGCAGGACAGGGCCUGGCAGGAGGGAGGCCCCGCCGGAGAACGGUCACACCGGGUGGGGACGGCGUCGUUACGGUGGCAGUGUGAGGAGGGGCCGCAGGACAGGGCCUGGCGGGAGGGAGGCCCCGCAGGGAGGGCGGACGUGGGGACUUGGGGGCCCCUACUGGCCAACCCUUGGAUUUCAGUGUUUCCAGGAGCAGAGGCGAAUGCAGUUGCAAUGUGUGUGUGUGUGUGUGUGUGCGCUACACACGCGUGCGUGUGCGUGCGUGUCCACACGCCUGUGCCCCCACCCCUGACGCUGCUCCGACCCUGGGGCAGAGCCGCCCCUGUCCCCGCGACAGCAAUGAGCACAAGCACCCAGAUCGCCGUCUACGAAUCAGCUUCCACUAGAAGGAACACAGUCCUCCUUGAAGCAGUGCCCAUUUUCAGGGGUGGGAUUAACAAAGUACUAGACCCUGGAGGUCUUGUGCCCCACAGUGAGGAAGGGCUCGGAAUGACAGGGACAGGACAUGUUCAAAGCAAGUGGGAGUCGGCCUGCAAGGGCCCCACUGGCCGAACCUGGGACCCUUGAGCUUGUCAUUUAUCAAGUGAUACAGUCUGUGACUCUGAAAAAAGAUGAAUGAUUGUUCCCCAUACUAAACCUCAUAAGAUUGCAAAAACAAAUAAAGCCAAAAUGCAGUAGCAGGAUAAUAAUAGAAAUUGCUUACUCAUUACGAGUUCUCUCUUCUAUAUCCAGAAAAUUUCUGAUGGCUUCCUUACAAGGUGUUUGUUCCCUAUUUUGAAGACUUCCCGUUAAGUGAAACCUAACUUCUCAAUAAUACGUGCAAUUUCCAAACAGGAUGUGUGGAAGUUCAUCAGCAAGAUGUGUUUCUCCUAGAGACGGCCGGAGAGGGGAGGAAUGGAACGGAGACUGGAGAGUGUGCUGGAAAGGCUACCGACAAAGGGACAGGUGGCAGUUGGCCACAGAUGGGGGAUUUUGGAAAGAGUGAAAGUAGCUGCCACCUGGAGAAGAAAUUGAGGGAAAGAAAAGACAUGUGUCCAGGAGGUUUUAUGAAGUUUGCCAUAAGAUUUAAACCCCCAUUCUCCAUCACAUGACCUUCACAUAACCUUAAUGUGACCCUAACAUAAACUUAACAUGAGUUUGAUUUGCAGGUUCUGGUCUUUUCUAAUACUUACUUAUGAAGGUAAACUAAAUAGAGUGGGCCCUGCAUAUGGUGGGUUCCUCAUCUGUGGAUUCAACCAACUGUGGAUAGAAAAUAUUUUGAAAAAAAUUUCAUCUGUACUGAAUACAUACAGAUAUUUUCAU